CUGUUACAACUCUGUUCCAGGUUUAGGGGGGAAGACCGUAGCAUGUUUAACCUCACCACAUUCUGUAUAUAUGUUCCUGUCCGAAGUCAGGAGCCUGUAAUUCAGUGGUUGUUGUUUGUUGGUGUGUUACAUAUUCAUUGUUCGUUCAUUUUUGUACAUAAAUAAGAACGUUAGUUUUCUUGUUUAAAUUCGUUGACAUUUGUCAUUUUGGUGCCUUUUUUAGCUGACUAUGCGAUAUGGCUUUGCUCAUUAUUGAUGGCCGUAUGGUGUCACAGACCUAUAUUUGUUAAUUUCUGGUCAUCUGAUCUGUUGUGGAGAGUUGUGAUUAUUCCACUCAUUUUUGGUGCCAUGAUUGGCAAAUAAAAUAUAUGUUGUUGCUGUUGUUGUUGUGUCGUUGGCAAUAAUACGGCAUCUUUUUUUAUAAACAAAUAUAUUUAUAUAUGUAAAUCGAAUGUUCUGUUUUCCCUUAUGAACCACAUUUGAACUAAAUUCUUGAAGGGAAAGACAUUGUUUUUGUAUAAAUGUCAACAGAAUACAGAAUGUUGUGUCAACAAAAUACAGAAUCAACAUUCUGUAUUCUGUUGACACAGUAUACAGAAUGUUGAUUCCGGCAAAAU
rnacentral:lncRNA from 1 species